UGACUUCCUUGUUGUGAGCCCCGGCCUGGCAGUGUCCCGACUCGUAGACCCGCUGUUCUUAGCGGGACUGCUGGCCCAAGUCUAGUUCGGAGCUGCAACCGCACCCCAUCCGUAACCUUUUCAGUACAGGUCCUUUCCCCGCACUCCCUGUGCUCCCUAACAUGCUCAACCCCAGCAGCACCUCCUCUCCCUACCCCCUCCCUGAGGAAAUUAGGAACCUGUUGGCAGAUGUUGAAACAUUUGUAGCAGAUAUACUGAGAGGGGAGAAUUUAUCCAAGAAAGCAAAGGAAAAGAGAGAAUCCCUUAUUAAGAAGAUGAAAGAUGUAAAGUCUAUCUAUCUUCAGGAAUUUCAAGACAAAG